GAUAUUUUGCACUAUCGUUCGAAAUUUUAAUCAGUCGUUUCAUAAACAUGUCCCGGUAAUAGUUACUACGUAUUUAGUCUGGUUUAAGCGCCCAUUUUAAAUUGAUUUUUUUUUUUCGAUGAACACGAACAAGUCAAUCAGGUGCCGUAACAAAAUGACAAGAACCAAAAAGGUAAGUAACUGUGCAUUCAAUGAAGGACGACUACCAACACGUCAUAUGCAAGUCUUUGAUAGUGGAUAUACGGUGGUGUAUGUUACUAUGAUGUACCUUAUAACAAAACUUAAGUACUCGGUGGCGGGCCGAAAGGCUCAAGUUUAAUGUACUUGCGUCAACUUGUCAAAGGUGGUAGUACCACUCCGUGCUGAAUUACAAACAAGACCCGACUUCUUGGCUCUUUUGAUCAAAUUUUAUUUAGAUUAUAAUCUAUUUAUACAUAAAUUUGUUAUAAGUAAAUAAUGUUUAUUAGACUA